UACGGAGGGCGCAAGCGUUGUUCGGAAUCACUGGGCGUAAAGCGCGUGUAGGCGGCCGGGCAAGUCGGAUGUGAAAUCCCGAGGCUCAACCUCGGAACUGCAUUCGAAACUGCUUGGCUUGAGUCCCGGAGAGGAUGGCGGAAUUCCCGGUGUAGGGGUGAAAUCCGUAGAGAUCGGGAGGAACACCAGUGGCGAAGGCGGCCAUCUGGACGGUGACUGACGCUGAGACGCGAAAGAGUGGGGAGCAAACAGG
rnacentral:rRNA from 1 species